rnacentral:lncRNA from 1 species
UUGUUCCACGUCCUCGCGUUGUUGUGUUUUUUUGUGCUUUCUUGUUUGGAUUAACUUUAUAUAUAUAUGUGUGUGUGUGUGUGUGUGUGUGUGUGUAUGUGUGUGUGUAUCUGUGAUUUGCCCAAGGUGUCAUGCAGUGGGACUGAACCCAGAACCAUGUGGUUAGGAAGCAAACAUCUUACCACACAGCCACACCUGUGCUUAUGAUAUUGCUAAGUUUUCAGCUGUUGAGAGAGACAUGAUCAAACAGAUUCAACCAGCUGGAGAUUGUAUUUAGAUCAAAGACUACACUAGCUUUAUUAAAUUCAACACCAAUAGUAUGAUUAAUCAUUUAUAUGUACAGAAAUAAAUUACCAAUAUAUACAAUAUAGUUUUCGAUAUAACUCCACUUUAUAGCAUUCAGUCUAAACGUUUAGCAUUCAGAUUUCUUUGUCAAACGUAUUGCAUAUUUAUUCACAUUGUCUUCAGUUAGUCACGUUAGCUGAUAACUUCAUGAUUUCAAUGGUGUAUUUGUGUGUUUUUGGAAUGACAUUGUAAGGUAGGUGUGAGAGGUUAGAUCUGGUCAGUUUUAACAUAAUACAGGUAGAAUAUUUGGGCCAGACAUGGCUUAACAUGUUCCGUAUAUAAAUAAUUUUUUUAUGCAUUCCAGUCUAAAGGCUUUUGUCAUGCUGAAGCAUCACAGGUAUAUGUAAAUGUGUGUGUGUGUGUGUAUCUUUGUACAUAUGUGUAUGUAUACAUAUGUAUAGGUAUAUCUAUCUAUCAACCAACCACAUGGUUCCGGGUUCAGUCCUACUGCGUGGCAUCUUGGGCAAGUGUCUUCUGCUAUAGCCCUGGGCCGACCAAUGCCUUGUGAGUGGAUUUGGUAGAAGGAAACUGAAAGAAGCCUGUCAUGUAUAUAUAUAUAUAUAUAUAUAUAUAUAUGUAUGUGUGUGUGUCUGUGUUUGUCCCCCCAACAUCGCUUGACAACCGAUGCUGGUGUGUUUACGUCCCUGUCACUUAGCGGUUCAGCAAAAGAGACCGAUAGAAUAAAUACUGGUCUUACAAAGAAUAAGUCCCGGGGUCGAUUUGCUCGACUAAAGGUGGUGCUCCAGCAUGGCCGUAGUCAAAAUGACUGAAACAAGUAAAAGAGUAAAAGAGAGUAUAUAUAAUGUAUACAUCAUACGUACAUACAUUAUAUAUAUACAUAUAUAUAUAUAUAUAUAUAAAAUGUAUACAUCAUACGAACAUACAUACAUAAGUAUAUGGUAGAUUAAAACUCCCAGUGGCAUUGACAAAAUAAUUACCAUUAAUUAACUGAUGUUGAUUCAAUUGUCUACACUGCUUCCCAUGUGAAAAUUGGUUUUUGUUUUAGGGGAAAGCAAAUUUGAUCAAUAUGAAUGAAUAAAUUUUUCUAAGAGAGUUGUUUAACUCCAGGUCAAUCUUCAUUCAAAAUUUAAAACCAAAAGUGUUCCGGACGUAGUCAGUCUGUCUCUAUAUUUUUUCUUCUUGUCAGGCAUAGUGUAUCUAGGACUAGAUUAUCCAGAUUGUUGUUUGCUUUUGUAAGUUUGUAGGAUAUGAUUUGAAAGAGAUUUGACUGCUGUUUCUAGCAUGUUUGUGUGAUUUUAUAGAGCUUCUCUCAUUGGCUUUUAAUAAAACUUUUUUUGUUGUUUGCUCGUUUUUUUUUUAUUUUACUUGUAUAUUUAAAAAUUUUUUUUUUUACAUGUUUUUUAGGGAGGAAGUGUCAAAAGCUCCCGUAGGAUGAGUGUGAUAACUUGAGAGUGAUACGGUUGAUUUUGUUUGGUUUUGAAGAGAUGGUGUAGGGUUAUUAUAGCAACACAUAGAAGCACGUAGGCAAGAAUAAAUAGCAAAGGAGGUCUUGGGUUGAUGCAGUUAUGGGAAAGAACUGUACACAUGUUUUAGGAGAAUAUAUAUACUCUUAGAGGACUGAUACAGGGAGAAUUUUUAUUUUAUUUUUCUUCUUCUUCCUAGCAUAUGUUUUCUGGAGCAAAAUAUUUUGUACAAAUACACCAGAGUUAAGUUAUAAAUAGGGCAGAAUUGGCACAGUGCCUAUUCCUUGGGCCUAUGAAAAUCUCACAAAAUGGGACAGGGAAUUAUGAUUUAACUAACUUUUAGUUUAAUUAAUUAAUUAGUUUAAUUAUUGUUGAUUGGACUCAAAACAGAUGAUUUGAACUCCCUCCCAUAUAUUCAUACUGAGUUUUAGUUGAAAUACCUGUUGUGGUGAAGUUAAGUUUUGGUGCCUUGGAAUUUGUUAAAAUAAGUUACCAGGCGCAGGAGUGUGGUAAUUAGCUUGCUUACCAACCACAUGGUUCCGGGUUCAGGCCCACUGCGUGGCACCUUGGGCAAGUGUCUUCUACUAUAGCCUCGCACUGACCAAAGCCUUGUGAGUGGAUUUGGUUGACGGAAACUGAAAGAAGCCUGUCAUAUAUAUAUGGAGUGGCUGUGUGGUAAGUAAUUUGCUUACGAACCACGUCCACAUGGUUCCUGGUUCAGUCCCACUGCAUGGCACCUUGGGCAAGUGUCUUCUAUUAUAGACUCGGGCUGACCAAAGCCUUGUGAGUGGAUUUGGUAGACAGAAACUGAAAGAAGCCUGUUGUAUAUAUGUAUAUAUAUAUAUAUAUAUAUAUAUAUGUGUGUGUGUGUGUAUAUAUGUUUGUGUGUCUGUGUUUGUCCCCCUAACAUCGCUUGACAGCCGAUGCUGGUGUGUUUACAUCCCCGUAACUUAGCGGUUCGGCAAUAGAGACCAAUAGAAUAAGUACUAGACUUACAAAGAAUAAGUCCUGGGGUUGAUUUGCUUGACUAAAGGCGAUGCUCCAGCAUGGCCGCAGUCAACUGACUGAAACAAGUAAAAGAGUAGAGCAACUGAACUAAAAUAGAGGCACAAUUUUGUAUGGAAAGAGAGAGUAGUCAUUGGAUUAUUUCCAACUGUAUGCUAACCAUUUUUCUCCAGAUUUUUUUUUUAACAUGGGUGAUAGAGUGAGAAAGAAAGAAAGGAUGAAAGUACCAUAUUUUAUUAACUUUUUAACACUUAAAUCUGGCCAUAUCAGGCAUUAAUAUUCUACCAGUUUUAUGUUCAAACUGGACAGAUUUGAUCUCUCAUGCCUAUCUUCUUAAAUCGUUCUAAAAAUAAAAAAAUCACAUCAUUGAAAUCUCAGUAAUGAGAUAAUGCAUGAUUAAUUCAAAACAAUGUGAAUAAAUAAACAAUAUAUUUGACAAAGUAAUCUUAAUGUUAAAGGGCUAAUGUAUAUAAUAUGCUAUCCCUUUCCCAGAUUUUUAAAAUUAGGUGGGAAUUAAGCAUGAGAACAAUUUUUUCAGUCUUGGGUUCAGCAAUAUUUCUGUAUGAAAAUUUUUUUUUUUUAAAAGUGGGCCAAGGAUUGACAGAAUCAAAAGAGUGACAGACAGACAACCAGUCAGUAUUUAGUUAUGUCUCUAUAAGCUGGCAGAAACGUUAGCACGCCGGGCGAAAUGCUUAGCGGUAUUUCGUCUGCCGCUACGUUCUGCGUUCAAAUUCCGCCGAGGCCGACUUUGCCUUUCAUCCUUCCGGGGUCGAUUAAAUAAGUACCAGUUACCCAUUGGGUUCGAUAUAAUCGACUUAAUCACUUUGUCUGUCCCUGUUUGUCCUCUCUGUGUUUAGCCCCUUGUGGGUAAUAAAGAAAUAAGUAUUUAGUUAUGUCUCAUAUUCUGAGUUCAAAUCACACCAGUUGUUUUUCACCUUUCAUCCUUCUGGGGGUGAUUAAAUAAUACACAGGUAAAUACUAGUUAAGUACAGUAAUACUGGAGUGAACAUAAAUGACUAUACUCUUUCUGUCAGUCAAAUUUGUGAUGUAUUUAUGCUCUGGAGGCUUCCAUAUGGCUCAAAGGACCACAGAUUUGCACCUAGAAUGUUUGCCGGCGAGCUGGCAGAAACGUUAGCACGCUGGGCGAAAUGCUUAGCGGUGUAUAUAGUCUUCCCUGGAUGAGAUGCUGUUCUAUCCCAGGAUGACUCAUUUUUACCAUUUAAGUGAAGUGUAGCAAUGUGAAAUGGAAGUGUUUUGCUCAAAAGGGCAAUACAUUGCCUAGUCCAGGAAUCGAAACCAUAAUCUUACGAUCACGAGUUCAACAUCCUAAACACUAAGCAAUGCACCUCCACUAUUAGAUGGAAUACUUUUUGAUAUUUCUUACCCAGAAAUGUGGAAGUAUUGGAUAGUAGGUUAGCAAUCACCUCCCUUCGACAAGUCACCCUAACGAGACGUCUGUGUUGGCUGGGUCAUGCCCUCCGUUGUCAACCAGGAGAAUUCAUCUACGAAGCAAUUGCCCCAGCUCCCCUUCAGGGUUGGCGAAAGCGAUGUGGUGGACAACGAAAAACCUGGCUGAUGACAGUUAAGGCUGAUCUGGAACCCAGCCUAGGCCCCCAUAUUUUACAGCGUUCGCCACUGGAAUAAGGAGUGGUUGGAGAUCAUGCGGUCGUUAGCCUCAAAUCGCCAGGCCUGGUUGGCGUUUGUGAGAGAUGCAGCAUUGAGGAUGAAUGAAGCUAGCUCAACCCACUCCGGGUGAAUGCUAUCUCAAGACAAGACAAGACAAGACAAGAAAAACUGAUAUGCUUCUGAGUAGAAGCCUUUCAUGGAAGACCCAAUGUGCAUUACGGCACAGGAACAGAAAAAAAGCAGAAAAAUAGUGAUGCAAACUAAAUCAACCAUAUUAAAUUCCACCUUGUUUCAUAAAGUAAUCAACAUUUCAGCAAAAAAAAGGGUGGUACACCAUUAUUUAUUAGGAUUGAAACACUUUUCCUGAUGCUAUUACAUUAAUUAUUGACUGACACCAACACCAUCGCCACUUAGUAGUACUACUAUCGGUAAAUACUUAAGUAUCAAUAUAGCGUAUGUUAUGAAUAAAUAAACAUGUGGAGCCAAAGCUAUUAGAACUACUGUCAUUGCCGCCACCACCUCCACCACCACCACCACUGCCAUUAUCAAUAGUAAUAAUAUUACCACACUAGUACAAUUAUUGCUUUUGUCUACUACUAUUGCUGCUAGUACUCUUCUUCUUCUUCUUCUUCUUCUUCUUCUUUCCCCCUCUUCUUCUUCUUCCUCCUCCUCCCUCCUCCUUCCCCCUCUUCUUCUUAUUUUUCUUCUUCCUCCUCCUUCCCCCUCUUCUUCUUCUUCCUCCUCCUUCCCCCUAUUCUUCUUUUUCUUCUUCCUCCUCCUUCCCCCCUCUUCUUCUUCUUCUUCUUCUUUUUCCUCCUCCUCCUCCUUCUUCUUCUUCUUCUUCUUCUUCUUCUUCUUCUUCUUCUUCUUCUUCUUCUUCCAGAGUUGAUAAAUUAAGUACCAGUGAAACACUGGAGUUGAUGUAAAUAAUUAGUCCCCUCACCCGAAAUUUCAGGCCUUGUACCUUUAGUAGAAAGGAUUAUUAUUAUUAUUAAGGUGACAAGCUGGCAGAAUCCUUAUCACCAACAUGGAGGCAAUGAAAAAGGACGAAGACCUUUGGCAAUAUGCUGUGCUUCAGACGAAGACCCAUCAAGCCAAGUGAAAUUGUAGUCAUGGCAGAUACUGGUGACAUGCAACAUCGGCAGCUGUGUAGGUGGCAUACCUAUUAUACUUCUGGAGUGGUUGGCACUAGGAAGGGCAUCCAGCUGUAGAAACCAGGCCAAAUCAGACUGAAAUUUGGAGCAGCAUCUCAGCUUACCAUCCUUGAUCAAACUGUCCAACCCAUGCCAGCAUGGACAACAGGUGUUAAAUGAUGAUGGUGAUAUAUAUAUAUGGCACAUAAAAGCACCCACUACACUCAUGGAGUGGUUGGCAUUAGGAAGGGCAUCCAGCUGUAGAAACACUGCCAGAUCUGACUGGGCCUGGUGCAGCCUCCUGGCUUCCCAGACCCCGGUCGAACCGUCCAACUUGUGCUAGCACAGAAAACAGACGUUAAACGAUGAUGAUGAUAUAUAUAUAUAUAUAUAUAUAUAUAUAUAUAUAUAUGUAUAUAUAUAUAGGUUCACAUAUGUACAAACACAUGCAAUUGCACACUUGCACACACAUAUUUAUGUUAGGCUUUCUUUCCCACCUUUUAAAUUAUCUCACAAGGCAUUGGUCAGUCUAGUGCUAUAUAGUAGAAGACACUUAUCCAAGAUGCCAUGCUGUGGAACUGAACCUGAAAUCAUAUGGUUGCAAUGUGAACUUCUUAACCUGAUAUACAAUACACUACCACUACCACCACCACCACCACACACCACCACAACUACUACCUAUUUCUUUACUAACCACAAAGGGCUAAACACAGAGAGGACAAACAAGGACAAACAAAGGGAUUAAGCCGAUCAUAUCGACCCCAGUGCGUAACUGGUACUUAUUUAAUCGACCCCGAAAGGAUGAAAGGCAAAGUCGACCUCGGCGGAAUUUGAACUCAGAACGUAGCGGCAGACGAAAUACCUAUUUCUUUACUACCCACAAGGGGCUAAACACAGAGAGGACAAACAAGGACAGACAAACGGAUUAAGUCGAUUAUAUCGACCCCAGUGCGUAACUGGUACUUAUUUAAUCGACCCCGAAAGGAUGAAAAGCAAAGUCGACCUCGGCAGAAUUUGAACUCAGAACGUAGCGGCAGACGAAAUACGGCUACGCAUUUCGCCCGGUGUGCUAACGGUUCUGCCAGCUCGCCGCCACUGCCACCACCACCACCACCACCACUACCACCGUCGUUGUUCCACUUAUUGAUUACAAGAACCUAAGUCAGAUACUAACAACAGCAUAGAGAUUUAUUGAGUCUGUAACCUAGAACUUGAUUUUUGAAUCCUUGCUCUCAUUGGUUCCCUUAUGUCUCUCAAUGAUUUUAGAUAAUAGCUAUAAAACAUUAAACCUAAUUAAGAAAUCACUAAUAAUAAUAAUAAUAAUAAUGGCUUUCCAAUCAUUAACAUCUAUAUAAAAGACGUUAAUUAGCAUCUAUUAAAGAUAGAGGUCCAGUUAAAUGGAGAACAAAAAAAAUAGGUAGGUCAAGUCUGAAUUGAUUUGCAGUAAUGAGUUUGGAUCUCAUAUACUUUGGUGUUUGAAACCUGCUGUAGUCUGUCUCUUUGCUCUUUAAUUAUUCAUUUCGUGUGAAGAGAUGGAAAGUUGACUAUAAAAUAAGGAGGAGCGUUAUUUCAAGAGCUAAAAGAUUGGCAGUUUGUAAGCCAGACACUAAGUGAUGUGAUUUAUGAUCAUGAAACUAUUUUUUAUAACUCAGAAGUGAGUAUGAGACAUUUUGGUGCAGCUAUUUUGGCACUGUUUAUUUGGCAUUACUGAUUCAAUGCUGACUUAUUUGACAUCCCUCUUCAUUCCUCUCUUCCCAUUCUGUUUACAUAUUUUUCUAUGUGUCCAACCCAUGCCGGCAUAGAAAAUAGACGUUAAAAUGAUGGUGAUGUAUGGAGGAGAGGGGAAAAUAUUUAUGUUGAUUAUACUGAAUUAUCAUCAUCUUUUAACACUCGUUUUCCAUGCUGGCAUGGGUUGGAUGGUUUGAUGAAAGCUGGCAAGCUGUAGAGCUGCACAGGUUCCAGUCUGAUUUGGCUUGGUUUCUAUGGCUGGAUGCCCUUCCUAAUGACAACCACUUUACAGUGUGUGCUCUGUUUGUGUAUGUUUCUGUGUGAGUGUGUAUAAGUUUACCUCUAAUCCCAAAAAGUAUGUUGCUCAAACUGAUCAACUUACCAGUCAGCUGUGCCAAAUGAUCAGUGCCCAAACAGUUUAGCCCAAUCAUCUCAGUCUGCUUAUAAAAGAAUGUUCCAGAUAUCAGCUUUUAUCUUCCAAACACCUGAUAAGAGUUUGGGUUAGCAAGCUGUGAUUAAAGAAAAAGGUCUGCCAAAAUCAAGAUGCAUUAUAUAAGUUUAUCCCUUUCGUUACCAACCCAGCUGAAACCCGACUCUAGCUCUGUAGUACAAAUGUCCUGUUUUCGUAAGUUUUGAAUUAAAAUCUUCCACCAAACCUUAGUCACAAUUUAUGUUCCUAACACUAGCUUAAUGAUGACUAAGUUUUUUUACUAAAUUCUUUGUUAUAUUUAAAAUAAUUGAAAGAAACACAGAGCACCUCAAAAUAAAUACGGUAACGAAAGGGUUAUACUCCUCUUUGUAGAGUUGUCUCCAGGCACCAGACCAUGUGGAUCCCCUAAAUUCUGUUUCUGAAACCAACUGAAAGCCACUCUCCUCUGCUGCUCCAUUGACCCAAAUACUUGGGAGACAAUUGCCAAGGUCCACCCUAAGUGGUAGCAUGUCAUCGUCAAAGAAACAGAUCAGAGGGAAAAUAACAGACAUCAAGAGGUAGAGAUGAGACGUCAAAGAUGCAAAGACCGGCUUGCAUUUCCUCAUCCCCUGCCAACUCUCCCCUUUGAUAAAUGCCUCUGGUUCUUCUAUACGGCCCUUGGCUUGGACAGCCACCUCAGACACUGGUACCCUUCACACCCAUCAGGAUGAAGUGACUCAAUCAUUCUCUAUUGAUUUACUACUCAGAUAUAACUUAAAUCUACCAAGGACUCCUUAUAAACCAUCAAGUACAGUAACUUUCAAUAGCUGGGACCUACAUAGGUAUUUUGAGUAACAUUCAGCUGCAGUGCUGUGGAAGAAUUUUUGCUGGGGAAUGGAUAUAGUUAAUCAACUUGAUUUUGGAACCUGGCUGUUACUAUUUCCAUCAAUCCUGAGAAUGGUAAAAAAAAAAAAAAGAAAAAAAAAAGUGAAGUCAGUUCUGAAUUUACAAGUUUUUCAUUUAAACUGAAUUUAAAGAAAUACCAUAUUUGUAGGGUACCUAUAAAUGCUUCAUUGUUGUUGCUUUUUUUAGUUUUGGGCUUCAGGCCCAAUUAGCCCUCUGCAGGAGCUAGUUUAAAAGUCAACACUGAAUGUGGCUUUUAAGCUAGUUUUAAGUAUAAGUUUCAAAAGCUGGGUGAACAAAGAGGAGUUGCAAUUAACUGAAAUCUUCAUGACUAUGUCUCCAGUAUCCAAGUGGCUAAAAAGUGGCAGCAGAAGGGCACCCAGGGGUCAUGACUGGGAUGCAGCCCAGCCCCCUUAGAGUAUAUAUAAGAAAUUAAGGGCUGAAUGAAACACUUGCCUGAGUGGGUUUUUUUUCUCUGGAGACAUUUUGCUCUUCAGCCCUUUUGAGAGAUUCUUACCACUGUUGACCUUGGUGGGAUUUGAACUUAAAAUGUAAAGAGCCAGAAGAAAUACCUAUUUCUUUAAUACCCACAAGGGGCUAAACACAGAGGGGACAAACAAGGACAGACAAACAGAUUAAGUCGAUUACAUCGACCCCAGUGUGUAACUGGUACUUAAUUUAUCGACCCCGAAAGGAUAAAAGGCAAAGUCAACCUCGGCGGAAUUUGAACUCAGAACGUAGCGACGGGCGAAAUACCGCCAAGCAUUUCGCCCGGCAUGCUAGCGAUUCUGCCAGCUUGCCGCCAGAAGAAAUACCACUAAGUAUUUCUGUCAGACGUGCUGAUGAUUCUGCCAGCUCACCGCUUUUGUAAUUUGAACCCAAAACACAAAGAAGUUGAAGAGAUAAUGCAAAACCUCUCACUGAAAUCUCUAACAAUUCUACCAACUCACCACCCUAUAGACUGAUACUGUAUAUAUAUAUAUAUAUAUAUAUAUAUAUAUAUAUAUAUAUAUAUAUAUAUCAGUUCUGAAAGGGUGAAAGGCAAAGUUGACCUCUGACCUUUGACCUUGGUGGGCGAGGAUUUUGACCUCAGAGUGCAGAAAACUGGAACCAAAACUACAAAGCACUCUAUUCUAUUUGGUGCUUUUAAAGACUGCCAAUUCACUGUCUCAUCUCUAAAGAUGAGGUUAAUAGUCAGUGAAAUUAUAUAAUCAAUCAGUAUCUAAUCAUAGAUGUACUUUGUCUUCUCAGAGGAACUCUAUGAUUCUGAAUGAUCCAAUUCAGGUAGCUAUACACAGUACAAUAGUGUGUUGGCCGGUCUGUUGGUUGGUUGGUUGGUUGGUUUGCUGAUCAAUUGGUGGUGGCGAAGGAUGUAGAUGAAUAUUUUAUUAUGUUGCAUUACUGGGAUCAAUAACUUGGAUCUAUCUAUCAUUUUUCUUUCUUUUCAUAAGCUUAAUUGUUGUUUUACUCCCCCACCAACCUCCUCUCGUUUCUUUAUUUUCCUUUCUGUAUAUAUGGGUAUAUGUAUAAGUAUGUGUGUGCAUGCGUGUAUGAAUAAAUAAAUAUAAAUAUAUAUAUAUAUAUAUAUAUAUGUAUAUAUAUAUAUAUAUCUAUUUGUAUGUAUGUAUGUAUUCUAUUACUCUUUUACUUGUUUCAGUCAUUUGACUGUGGCCAUGCUGGAGUACCACCUUUAGUCAAGCAAAUCGACCCCAGGACUUAUUCUUUGUAAGCCUAGUACUUAUUCUAUCAGUCUCUUUUGCUGAACUGCUAAGUUACUGGGACGUAAACACACCAGCAUCAUUUGUCAAGCGCUGUUGGGGGGAUAAACACAGACACACAAACAUAUACACACACAUACAUACAUACACACACACACACUAUAUAUAUAUAUAUAUAUAUAUAUAUAUAUAUACAUACACACACAUGUACAACGGGCUUCUUUCAAUUUCCGUCUACCAAAUUCACUCACAAGGCUUUGGUCAGCCCAAGGCUAUAGUAGAAGACACUUGCCCAAGGUGCCAUGCAGUGAGAUUGAACCCGAAACCAUGUGGUUCGUAAGCAAGCUACUUACCACACAGCCACUCCUGUGCCUAUACCACACAGCCACUCUUGCGCCUAUAUAUAUCUACUAUAAUAAUACUCUUGUUUUUCUUCGUCACAACAUAUAAAUGUGAAAGGAAGGGGUGAUGGCAAACUGAUAGUGGGAGCAUUUCAACUCUGUGUGAGUAUAUGUGUGUAUGUAAAAGGGAGGUAUAUGACUGUUUGUGUGUGUGUGUGUGUGUGUGUGUGCGUGUGCGCAAUGGAAGUGGGAUGGUGAACAUUCAACACUGAAAAGAAAAAUCAGUGUUUCAAGUCUGUGUGAAUGUAUGUGUGUACAUGUACAAGGGAAGUAUGUGAACGUAUGUGUGAACCAGCGAUCUUUCAGUAAUAAAUGAUGAUCGAUGUCACAUCUCAAAAGACAACCACUACAUAACAUUGACAAGUAUUUUAAUUUGAUCUACCAUAUAUAUAUAUAUAUAUAUAUAUAUAUAUAUAUAUAUAUAUAUAUAUAUAUAUAUAUAUGGGGGCACCUUCGUAUUGGAAGUCACUUGAUCCUGUUAUCUCCCCUACUGUCCCUCUCGCGUCAGACCACUGUCUGAAGUCAGGACGCCAUGAUAGAUCGUUAGCUCCUACACACAUUUUUUUCUCUCUUUUUUUCUCUCCCUUGUUUUUUUCUGUGUAUCUUUCUGUCGAAGAGCGUAGGCUCAAAACAUAAAAGACUUUUACUAUUUCUAUUCCUGAGCGCUAUACUAAUACAUUUGUUUGUUUGUACUCCACCUGCCUUCGUCUUUUGUUUAUUUUCGUAAACCUUCCCAUUAUAUGUAUAUACACACACACAUAUAUAUGUAUAUAUAUAUAUAUAUAUAUAUAUAUAUAUAUAUAUAUAAAAUACUACAAUUAGCCAUCAUCUUUGAUGGUACGGGGCCAGCUAGUAUAUUUAACCAGUAUGGUCUCAAUGUCAAAUUUGUAACUUCCACAUCAAACCAUGGUUGGGUAGAGAGAACAUGUUGAGGCUUUCUUCUUGCUGUGGACUGAACAUGGGCAGUCCAAUCCAAUAGAUACAGAUAUACAUAUAUAUAUGUAUAUAUAUAUAUAUAUAUAUAUAUAUAUAUAUAUAUAUAUACAUACAUAUAGGCGCAGGAGUGGGAGUGUGGUAAGUAGCUUGCUUACCAACCACAUGGUUCUGGGUUCAGUCCCACUGCGUGGCAGCUUGGGCAAGUGUCUUCUACUAUAGCCUACUAUAUACUACUAUAUAUAUAUAUAUAACAGGAAGGUUUACGAAAAUAAACAAAAGACGAAGGCAGAUGGAGUACAAACAAACAGAUGUAUUAGUAUGGUGCUCAGGAAUAGAAAUAGAAAAGUCUUUUACGUGUCGAGCCUACGCUCUACGACAGAAAGAUACAUAGAAAAAAACAAGGAGAGAAAAAAAUGCAUGUAGGAGCUAACGAUCUAUCAUGGCGUCACACACACACUCUUUGAUAAGUUUCAUCCAGGAUUGGCCUAGGCUAUGUGUAACUUAAUAGCACUACCUGGAAAAGACAUUUAAUGUUUCAUAUUAGUCAUUUUUGGGGCAUUUGUACUUGUGUGUGUUUGUCUUCAGCUUGGUAGUUUGUUUUUGCAUUGUUGCAAUCCACAUGAUUUUGUUGCAUGUGCGUGUAUGUACGUUUAUUUGUAUGUGUGUUUGUAAACACGUACAUACAGAUACAAUACACACAUUGGCAUUGAAUUGUGUGUGUGUAUGUAUGCUGAGUGUAUAUGUGUAUAAAUAUGUAUUGAAUGAAUUUUGAAUAUGCACUCUUGUUUGUGUUUGUGCAUUUGCAUAUGCAUUUAUUUGCAUGCAUGAGUGCAUCUAUGUAUGCUUGCUUGUAUGUAUUGACACAUUCAUGCUUGCCUUUGUAUAUAUCCAUGCAUAUUUGUAGGUAGGUAUAUAUGAAUGUAUCUACAUGUAUCUACUGUGUUUCCCUGAAAAUAAGACCCGGUCUUAUAUUAAUUUUGCAUCCAAAAAAAAUGCAUUAGGGCUUAUUUUCGGGAGAGGUCUUAUAGUUUUGCUGAAAAAAAUCCAAGAAAGGACAGUCUCAUUGUCCUCAUGUAAAAGGAAAAAAAAUUGUAAAAAUUGUUUUAAGUUAUCAAAAAAAAAAUAGUAAAAACUAUUUUUAGUUAUGAAAAAAAAAUAGUAAAAAUUAUUUUUAGUUAUCAAAAAAAUAGUAAAAAUUGUUUUUAGUUAUCAAAAAAAUAGUAAAAAUUGUUUUUAGUUAUCAAAAGCUUAUUUAUUUGCUUAUUGUUUUUAGUCAAGUACUCUUUUGGAACUUCGUCAUAAAUAAUCAAACCCUGAACGUCAGACUGAAUUUCUUGCAGAUCCAUUUCCUAUAGAAUCAUGAACCCCAAUCUCUCAUGCUUGGCAAUAUAACUUUCCUUAAAUGAACACUUUUUGCCCAAGUACCCUGCAUGUAGUGCAUUGGCAACACAUCUGAAGUUAAUUUUAUUCCAUGAAUUCUUCACCCAAUUCUUGGAGGUUGGGUUUGACAAAGUUUCCAUGUUGAUUUCUCUCAAUUCUAUGUUCAAUAUAUUCAUUCACUUCCAUCCGCAAAUAAUCUUUGAAGGGCUUGUUUAUUACAAGAUCAAAUGUUUGUAGAUAUGAAGUCAUUCCCUUGGGAAUUAUGUGGUCAAUUUUUCUUUCAGAAAGGAAGGUUUUCAUAUCUUUUGCGUGAUGAGUACUGGCCAAAUACCAGACUAAAAUACCUUUUUGAGAACCACAUAAAACAAGUGGCAUAGUUAAAUCAACCCAUUUUCUUAUAUCACCUUGUGUGCACCAACCCUUUUCCAUUUCAAGGACAUUAAUGCCUGAAACUUGUUCCAUUUUCUCCUUUUUUUUUUUACCCUUUGUGAUGGUAAGCGGUGGGACUUUUGCUAAAAUACAACUAACUCUUGCACUUUCAUAACCUGUUGAGGCAACGUAAAUUGACGAGGUGCCUGUUUGUUUAAUUGUCAUUUUAGAUCCUUGGCCCAUAAAUACUGUAGUCUCAUCCCUAGCAAUUAUAUUGGAGAGAUUGUAUUUAGAAAAGUCGAUGCCAUCAACGAAGGACUUGAAUGAAAGUGCACGCUGAAUCACUUCAGCAUCCACCAGCUUGACCAGUGUUGUCGAUCUUCUUAGAGAGAGCUCAUAUCACCGAAGUAAGUAAUCAAACCAAUGAAGUGAUGCUUUGAAUAUCUCUAGGGGUACAUCCAACUGUACUUACUUGUACUUGUACUUGUGAUGGCAUCCACCCAGGGCAGGUUGAGCUGGCCUCUUCUCUGGUCCUGACAGCAUCACGAACCAUGGUGGCCCACACUCGAUGGUCCUGUGCGAGGUCACUGGAGAUAGCGAGCCAUUCGCGGUUCCAUCUGUGCAGACCGACCCCUUGCGGACCUGAGAGUUCAGAGAGGUCCUCCUUUAUCGUCGUUGCCCAGGUCUUCAGCUGCCCACCCGUGCAUUUGCGCCAGUUGGGAAAUGGAGGUGAGAGGAGGACAUUGCGAAUCAGCUCACCCUCUGGACACCGGGCCACAUGACCGGACCAUCUUAAGCGCCAUUGUAGAAGCACCGCCAACUGUGGUGCCUUUGCAAGAGCAAAUUCUUGAAUAUCAGCCCUGUGUACAAUCAAAGCCUUUGUUCUGUCAACAAUCCAUCCCGAGCUGGUAUCUUCCAGCUCUGAAAAUAAUGAUUGUCAACCUGAUCCACACUUGUGGUUCUUAGCACUUCCCUCGUCCACCUCUCUGCUGAGAUCAUCGUACUCUACUUGCCAUUUAUGAACCAUUCGGAUAUCCAACAUUCUCCUUACAGAAAGCUGUAAGUUCCUAUGUGACUUUUCUACAAUUCUCUUCUUGUACUCCGUGGAAUAACUCUUUCUUUUUGCACUCAUCUUGCCUGGGGGACAAUGGAGUCGACUCUGUACAUGUGCGCUUGACACAGACUUUAGCCAAACUGCGGUAGUUGGUUUAUUUUGCAAACAAACACCACAGGGUCUUGCUAACAAGCUGAUGCAUUUUUGACUAGGUCUUAUUUUCGGGGUAGGGCUUAUAUUAAAAACAUCCUGAAAAAUCACGGUAGGGCUUAUUUUAGGAGUAGGUCUUAUUUUUGGGGAAACACGGUAUAUAUAAUUUAUCUGUGUGGCUGACUGUGUGUGUGUGUGUGUGUGUGUAUGUAUGUAUGUAUGUAUGUAUGUAUGUAUGUAUGUAUGAAAGAAUUUUCAAAACAUGUAGGUAUGCAUGCAUGCAUUUCUACAUGUUUUGAGAAUUCCUACAUGAGUUUCUAUUUUUGGACCAACCAGUUCUAUAGCUUGACCAUUAUUAAUGUGCAACAUGUUCACAUUUUGUUGUUCUCCCCACCCUUCAACGCUCCCACCCCCGUCUGCUACACCAAUUUUACAGUUUUUGUUGUUUGUCUAGUUUUUGUAUUGAGAAAGAGAGAGGUAGAGGUAAAGUGUACAUAUUUUUUUUUAUGUCUCCUAUUCAACUUUCUUCUCUCUGUUUCACAUUAACAUGCCUUCUCUUUCACUUUAACUCUCUUUCUCUCACUUUCUCUCUCUCUCUUGCUUUUUCUCUCUCUCUCUUUCAUUGCCUCCCUUUCUCUCUCACCUUUUCCAUUCUCACACAUUCUAGUUAUUGGUGUGAACUUGGUCUAUUUUUAGAUUACCUUCCUAGGUAUGAGAUGUGAAAAUGAAAAAUCUAAUGAAUUGACUGUGUGAAUAUUUACAACAAACCAUUAGUUUCCAGGCCUUUGGUCCCAAUCUUGAGUAUUUCCUUGUGUAUUUCAGACAAUACAUUAAAUUCUGCACACCACAGUACCCAAAUGUCCUAGAUGCCAGGGACAAAAAUAGCCAGGGAAAUAAUCAUUUGGGUAUUUUAACAACCUUAGAUUUGCAUUCUUUCUAAGGGUAGGAUUUGACAUGGAUCUAUGUUCACAUAUUCACUGCUGUAAAACUGACGAGUGAAAAAGUGAGACUUUGUAUGGCUGUUGGACCAGUUAGGCGCAGGAGUGGCUGUGUGGUAAGUAGCUUGCUAACCAACCACAUGGUUCUGGGUUCAGUCCCACUGCGUGGCAUCUUGGGCAAGUGUCUUUUGCUAUAGCCCCGGGCCGACCAAUGCCUUGUGAGUGGAUUUGGUAGACGGAAACUGAAAGAAGCCUGUCGUAUAUAUGUAUGUGUUUGUGUGUCUGUGUUUGUCCCCCUAGCAUUACUUGACAACCGAUGUUGGUGUGUUUACGUCCCCGGCACUUAGCGGUUCGGCAAAAGAGACAAAUAGAAUAAGUAGUGGGCUUACAAAGAAUAAGUCCCGGGGUCGAUUUGCUCGACUAAAGGCGGUGCUCCAGCAUGGCCACAGUCAAAUGACUAAAACAUGUAAAAGAGAGAGAGUAAAGAGAGUUAGAAAUAGCUAAAUUUCAUUUGGUUCAUAUCCUUACGGCUGGUCUUAUAAUCUUAUCUAAUAUCUUUCACUUGUUUCAGUCAUUAGACUGUGGCCAUGCUGUAGCCCUGCUGUGGCACCCGUUUGAAGAAUUAUUAAUUGAAUGAAUCGGUCCCAGUGUUUACUUAAUUUUUCAAGUCUCCUUUGCUGAACUGCUAAGUUAUGGGGACGUGAACGCACCAACAGUGGUUGUCAAGCAGUGGUGGGGACAAACACCAGCACAAAGGCACAAACACCCCCACUCCCUGAAGCUAUAGCAGAAGACACUUGCCCAAGUUGCCGUGCAGUGGGACUGAACCUGGAACCAUGUGGUUGGGAAGCAAACUUCUUACCAUACAGCCAUACCUCAUUUUAUACUCUUACACUUUUACUCUUUUCAGUCAUGUGACGGUGGCCAUGCUGGAGCACCGCCUAUAGUCGAGCAAAUCGACCCCAGGACUUAUUUUUUGUAAGCCUAGUACUUAUUUUAUUGGUCUCUUUUGCUGAACUGCUAAGUUACAGGGACGUAAACACACCAGCAUCGGUUGUCAAGCAAUGUGGUGGGGGACAAACACAGACACACAAACAUAUACACACACAUACAUAUAUGUACAUAUACAUAUAUACGACGGGCUUCUUUCAGUUUCCGUCUACCAAAUCCACUCUCAAGGCUUUGGUCGGCCCGAGGCUAUAGUAGAAGACACUUGCCCAAAGUGCCAUGCAGUGGGACUGAACCUAGAACCAUGUGGUUCAUUAUUAUAUUUCAGAUUAUAUAUAGAGAUUAUGUUAUAUGCAUUAAUGGUUUCUUUUGUGCAAAAAAAUUAUUCUAUGAAAGACAGUGCUCCAAUAAAAUCGACGACAAUGACUUGCACCUUUCUUACCCGGUCUUAGCUUCUAUUCAUUCAAAUUGAAAACCGUCAGAGAAGUACAAAGAAACAUAUGUUCUGUACAUUUAAUAAAAUUCGAGUUACAUAGUUAAAACCACAGUAAUGUGAAGCUCUAUAAAAAAGCAUAACCAUUGGGAGUCUCUGACGACUUCCAUGCUCCAUUAACCUUUAAACUACAAAAUUAGAUUUCAAGGUUAUUUCAGUAAGGCUGUUAAAUAUCUACCAAAAACUAGAAUUGGUGUUUUAUCUAAAUCACAUUGCCUCGUUUCCCAACCACAUGGUUUGAGGUUCAGUUCUACCGUAAGGCACCUUGGUCAAGUGUUUUCUACUAUAAUAGCCUCAGGUCAACCAAAGCCUUUGUGAGUGGAUUUAGUAGAUGGAAACUGAAAGAAGCCUGUUAUGUAUAUUUUUGUCUUUUUAAGUUCAUUCCCAAGUCAUAUGUAUAGACACACACAGGGCCAGUUUCCUGUUCCCGACCUCAUGGUUCUGGGUUCAGUCCCACUGUAAGGCACCUUGGUGAAGUGUCUUCUACUAUGGAUGGAAGCACUCCGUCGGUUACGACGAUGAGGUUUCCAGUUGAUCCGAAUCAACGGAACAGCCUGCUCAUGAAAUUAACGUGUAAGUGGCUGAGCACUCCACAGACACGUGUACCCUUAAUGUAGUUCUCGGGGAUAUUCAGCGUGACACAGAGAGUGACAAGGCUGGCCCUUUGAAAUACAGGUACAACAGAAACAGGAAGUAAGAGUGAGAGAAAGUUGUGGUGAAAGAGUACAGCAGGGAUCACCACCAUCCCCUGCCGGAGCCUCGUGGAGCUUUAGGUGUUUUCGCUCAAUAAACACUCACAACGCCCGGUCUGGGAAUCAAAACUGCGAUCCUAUGACCGCGAGUUCGCUGCCCUAACCACUGGGCCAUUGCGCCUCCACCUUCUACUAUAAUAGCCUCAGGUCAACCAAAGCCUUGAGUGGAUUUGGUUGAUGAAAACUGGAGGAAGCCUGUUGUAAGGCCAGUUUCCUGGUUUCCACAUCUUAUAUAUUCCCCACCUGGAUGGGACACUGGUCUGUUGCACGAUUACUAAUAUUUGUCAUCUGAGUGGACUGGAACAGCAUGAAAUGAAGUGUUUUGCUCAAGAACACAUGUUGCCAGGUCCAGGAAUUGAAACCACAAUCUUACUGAAAGAAGGCCGUUCUGUGUGUAUAUAUAUAUAUAUAUAUAUAUAUAUAUAUAUAUAUAUAUAUAUAUAUAUAUAUUUCGAUAGGUGAAUGAAUUAUCCUAUGUUUACCGUCAACAUGGAAAAUUCGAUGAACCGAUACCAGGGUAGCAAAUUCACGUCAGAAACACGGUUGAAGCGACCUAUCCAAAGGUAGAAACUCCGGGUUCGUGUGCAGAAAUUUGUGUGUUAUAUAUGAAUAAAUAAAUGGAGUUGUACGAAGAUGUUAACAAAAUUCCUCAACUCCAUUUAUUUAUUUAUUCAUAUAUAUAAGUUUGUGUGUCAGUGUUUGUCCCCUCAACAUCGCUCGACAACUGGUGCUGGUGUGUUUACAUCCCUGCAACUUUGCGGUUCGGCAAAAAGAGACCGAUAGAAUAAGUACUAGGCUUACAAAGAAUAAGUCCUGGGGUCAAUUUCCUCAACUAAAGGCGGUGCUCCAGCAUGGCCACAGUCAAAUGACUGAAACAAGUAAAAGAGUAAUGAGAGAGAUAGAGAGAGAGGAAUUGGAAGAUUUUAUUGAAAAUGUUUCCACUUGAGUUUUGUGAAAAAUAAUGCUGAUUCAUUUUUUAAGUAACAUGAUCAAAAUCAGAAUUCUUUAAUGCCUUCAUUACAAUAUUUCUGUAGAAAUAAAUUGCCUUUGUUUCAAUUUUGAAAAUAAUUUGGAAUUUAAUAAAAUAACUUUUCCAUUAUCAACCCUUUAGCAUUUAAACUGGCCAAAUGCAGCCCAAAUAUUUUACUAGUUUCAAGACAUAUUGGGGCAAGCGAAAUCGAAAUCGAAUUGAACCAGCCAGGAUCCCUGGUCUGGUGGUACGUAAAAAGCACUAUCCGACUCGUGGCCGAUGCCAGCGCCGCCUUGACUGGCUUCCGUGCCGGUGGCACAUAAAAUACACCAAUCCGACCAUGGCCGUUGCCAGCCUCGCCUGGCACCUGUGCAGGUGGCACGUAAAAAGCACCCACUAUACUCACGGAGUGGUUGGCGUUAGGAAGGGCAUCCAGCUGUAGAAACAUUGCCAGAUAAGACCGGAGCCUGGUGCAGCCUUCUGGCUUCCCAGUUCCCCGGUCGAACCGUCCAACCCAUGCUAGCAUGGAGAACGGACGUUAAACGAUGAUGAUGAUGAUGAUGAUGAUGAUGAUGUUCAAACUGCCCAGAUCCAGUUGUCUCUCACACCUACCUUACAAUGUUAUUCUAAAAAUAAACAAUCACACCAUUGAAAUUUCGAAACUACAAUAGAAUGCAUAAUUAAUUUAAAACAAUGUUAAUAAAUAAACAUUACAUUUGGUAGAGUAAUCUGAAUGCUAAAUGGUUAAGCAGAUACUCUCUCUUUUACUCUUUGACUUGUUUCAGUCAUUUGACUGCGGCCAUGCUGGAGCACCACCUUUAAUCGAACAACUCGACCCCAGGACCUAUUCUUUUGUAAGCCCAGUACUUAUUCUAUCGGUCUCUUUAGGCCGAACCGCUAAGUGACGGGGGACAUAAACACACCAGCAUCGGUUGUCAAGCAAUACUAGGGAGACGAACACAAACACACACGCAUAUAUAUAUAUAUAUACAUAUAUACGACGGGCUUCUUUCAGUUUCCGUCUACCAAAUCCACUCACAAGGCUUUGGUCGGCCCGAGGCUAUAGCAGAAGACACUUGCCCAAGGUGCCAUGCAGUGGGACUGAACCCAGAACCAUGUGGUUGGUAAGCAAGCUACUUACUACACAGCCACUCAAAUAAAUUAACAAGAAAUUUUGAUGGAAAGUUUAAAUUUAGGUCACUUUGAAGUGGUAAAUUUGUAUCAUAGAACCAGGAGAUUUGUCAAGCAGGUUGAUAUCAAUCAAAAGGGUUAAUAUCAGAACAUGCCAUCUUCAUUCCAGUCAGGUUAUAUACUUUCCGUUUCUAAAAUAACAAGGCUUGUUAUAGACAAAUAAAUGAAAGGAAAGAAAAAGUUGUCAAGAAUCAUUAUGGAUCAGUUGUCUAUUUCACAAGAAUUAAUAUGGACCAAGUUUGCAGAUCAUAAUCAUUAGUGCUGAGAAAUAUCAGCAAGUCUAAGAAUGCUGGUACAAAUAUAGUACAGAAGCAGAAUUAAUGAUUUCCUUUACUAAUCAUGCUUUCUACUAAGGGCACUAAAGAUUUAUUGAGGAGGGGCCCAGUUCAAUUACAUUGGCUCCAGUGCUCAACUGGUACUUAUUUUAUUAACCCUGUAAGAAUGAAAGGCAAAGUUAACCAGCAUUUGAACUUGGAAUGUGAAAAGCUAGAAAAAAUGUUGCUAAGCAUUUUGUCUGGUACAGCAAUGAUUUUGUUAGCUUACUGCCCAAGACUUCUUUUAUUAAUAAUGAUUAUUAAUUAAUUAAUAAUUAGUAAAAAAGGAUUUAGUUUAAAACAAUACCCAUUUAGGUUUUGGAAACUGAUAUUUUAUCAACCCUGAAAAAAAAAAAAAUGAAAGGUAAAGUUAACCUUGGCUGGAUUUGAACUCAGAAUGGGGAAAGCUAAAGGAAAUGGUCCAAAGCUUUUUGUCCAGUGCAGUAAUGAUUCUGCCAGUUUGCCACUCUAGAUUUCUUUUAUUAAUAAUGAUUUUGUAAAAUAAUAAAAAAAAGGAUUUGAUUUGAAACUACAUCACUUCAGCUUUUAGAAAGCAAUGCUAUUUUAUUUUAGAUACAACAACCAGCUUUUAGAAAACAAUGCUUUUUAUUGUAUAAUAUAUUUUUAUUGUGUAUGUAUAUAUAUAUGUGUGUGUGUGUAUAUAUAUGUGUGUGUGUGUGUAUAUAUAUAUGUGCGUGUGUAUGCGUGUGUUUGUAUAUAUAUAUGUGUAUAUAUAUGUGUGUGUGUGUGUGUAUAUAUAUGUGUAUAUAUAUAUGUGUGUGUAUAUAUAUAUAUAUGUAUGUGUGUGUAUAUGUUUGUGUGUCUGUUUGUCCCCCCCCCCCCCAGCAUCGCUUGACAACCGAUGCUGGUGUAUUUACAUCCCUGUAACUUAGCGGUUCGGCAAAAGAGGCCGAUAGAAUAAGUAUUAGGCUUACAAAGUAUAAACUCUAGGGUCGAUUUGCUCGACUAUAAAGGCAGUGCUCCAGCAUGGCCACAGUCAAAUGGCUGAAACAAGUAAAAGUAAAGGAGUAAAUCAAUUAUUGUUGUUGUUUAGCCCCAGGUCAGCCCUGAUUGAAAAUACUUAUGAUCAAAAGCAUUCAAACUGUGAGCACUCUGUCUCUUUUUUUUUUUUGGCUAGUAGACUUCACUAUUCAGUGCAUCCCCAAAUGCUUUGAGAGCGAUUUGACUGAUAUUUCUAGCAACUCAGUUGUAAUCACAUUUAGAGCUCUCCUCUUCUUGGUCUCAAGCAUUUGUCUUAUGAAGAAAGGCUGAAGACGCUCAACCUUUAUUCUCUAGAAAAACGCCGCCGCUGUGGUGAUCUCAUUCUUGCUCACAAUAUCAUAAGCGGAAAGUGUAACCUCUCAAAAGAGCUGUUCUUCACUCCUGCUCCAGAGUGUCGGCUGUGGGGUCACUCCGAAAAGCUCUAUCUGCGACGAUUUCAUCUCAAUCGAAGGAGAGGGGCUUUCUCUCCAUCCGGGUUGCGGAUCCGUGGAAUAAGCUGCCAGACGAGUUAGUGAAGAUGCCGACGACCGCUCGGUUCAAAGUCUCCCUUGACCACAAAUGGCCUGAACUCUUUGCAUGAACACCCUCCCUGUACAUAACUCCAUGUCCCCCUACAUGGCCUUGCUUUUUGAGCCAAAAAAUUAACUUAACUUAACUUGUUAGCUUUGCUUCCUUGUUGAAGAAAAAAAAAAACAGCAUAGAGCUGAGCUGAAAGACAUUUUCUCUCUCUCUCACUCACACUCACUCUUGUACUCCCACCCACUCACUCAUCCAUCCCUCUACUCACUUUUGUACUCACUCCCACUCUCUCUCAUAUGUACACACAUAUUUUCUUUUUCACAUACACUCGCUCUCUAUCUCUUUCUCUCUUUCUCUCUCUCUCCCUCAAGCCUAUUGUAAGAUUAUUUUUCUCACAUUUGUUGAUAUAUUUAUUAUACUGCUGGUACAAAGGAUUAAAUAGUUGAUUAUUUUACAGAGAACCACCACUACUACCACGGCCACCACCACUGAGGUUAUUGAGUUAGUCCAGUUGGUAAAAGAUCAUAAAACAAGUGGUGAUGGUGGGGGGAUGACACUAAACCCCAGCAUCUUUCUAUGGGCAUGUGUCAGCAUUUAGAUCCAUGAAUGAAUACAGCAUUGAAAAUGUUUGAGUAUAGAGGGGGCUAAUUGAUUGCAUCAAUCCCAGUGCUCAACUGGUACUUAUUUUAUCAACCCCGAAAGAAUAAAAGGCAAAGUCAACCUUGGAAGAAUUUGAACUCAGAACAUAAAGACAAAACAUUUUGCCCAGCAUGCUAACAACUCUGCCAGCUCUCUGUCUUUUUAAUGUCCAAAUAUCAUCUUUUCUUAUAUUUUAGUGUAAGAGAUUUUAAACCAUUUUAGCUCAUCAAAAUUUAAUCUCUCUCUCUUUUACUUGUUUCAGUCAUUUGACUGCGCCCAUGCUGGAGCACCGCCUUUAAUCGAGCAACUCGACCCCAGGACUAAUUCUUUUGUAAGCCCAGUACUUAUUCUAUCGGUCUCUUUUGCCGAACCGCUAAGUAACGGGGACAUAAACACACCAGCAUCGGUUGUCAAGCAAUGCUAGGGGGACAAACACAGACACACAAACACACCCCCACACAUAUAUAUAUAUAUAUAUAUAUAUAUAUAUAUAUAUAUAUAUAUAUAUAUCCAUACAUACGACGGGCUUCUUUCAGUUUCCGUCUACCAAAUCCACUCACAAGGCUUUGGUUGGCCCGAGGCUAUAGUAGAAGACACUUGCCCAAGGUGCCAUGCAGUGGGACUGAACCCGGAACCAUGUGGUUGGUAAGCAAGCUACUCGCUUGGAAACAGGUGAAGGUUAGCGACAGGAAGAGCAUCAAGCUGUAGAAAAUCUGCCUCAGCAGAUUUUGUCCGAUUUAUGCAAGCAUGGAAAAGUGGAUGUUAAAUGAUGAUGAUGAUGCUUUUUUGCAUGUGUGUGUGUGUGUCUGAGUGGCUGUUUGUGUCUCCCUGUUUUGAUUUUGUGUGAUACUUGUGAAUGAUUGCCACUGUCACGCACUCACUUCCAUUCAUCUUCAAUGAAUAAAUGUCUGUCCAAGGAGAAAUAUUACCUCGUUUUGGAAACAGGUGAGGGUUAGCAACAGGAAAGGCACCCAGCUGUAGAAAACCUACCUUAAUAAGUUUCAUAAGAUCCAUGCAGGCAUGGAAAAGAAUCUUGUUUGUUUAUUUUUCCCCACAUAAUUUCUUAUUUACUGUGAUGAAAAGGAGAUUGCAUUAGAGAUCAUUGGCUUUGGAAAUAACUACCGAACAAUCUACAAAAAAAUUUAACUUAUCCUUAAACAAAACUUUAUAGAUUUUGUAUUGUGGAAUGAAUGAACUACAAACUUUCUUUGGGACAGGUAACAAGUCUCCUUUAUCAGUAAAUUUCCCAGAAGUUUCAGUAAUAUUUUGUUUCUCUGAGUGAAUGAGCUACAAAAUUAUUUUUGAGAAGGGCAACAAAUCUCUCUCAUCAGUAAAUUUCCUAGAAGUUUUCUCUGAGUGAAUGAGCUACAAAAUUAUUUUUGAGACAGGUAACAAGUCUCUUCCAUCAGUAAAUGUACUAAAAGUUUCACCUAUAAUUUGUUUCUCACACCAAGGUAACCUUUAGUAUUGAAGCCUCAGAAACAGAUCACAAUAUACCUAUAGUUGUCUUCUAUUUGGAAGUUUUGAGCUUGUAGUCUACUAGCUUACCACUUUGGCUGACCAUACAAUACUUCAAACCUGUUGUAAUAAUGAGAGGUUGCUUACAUACUUUAAUGAGUCAUCGUUAGUGAAAAAAAGUAAAAAAAUAAAAUGCUUUUCUGGCAAAUGAUAUUUGUUAAUAAACACAAUAGAGUCCAGCUUUGACAACUCAAACUGACGUGAACAUGUUUGAAUUAAAAGCUGGCUACAACAAUACCCAAUGACAGAGUGUUUCUUAUUUAAAGUAGUUGCAGUUAGUAAUGAACUUGCUGUUGUCUUAGUACAGUUGUUGCACCUAAAGAGGUAGGUGACUGUUCGGCGGCUGUAGUGACUAUUGAACCUGUAGCAUGUUAGUGUAAUUAUUGUGACUGAAGAUGUAUAGUGUUGACUGUUUGGUAGUGGUUUUUGUUACUAGUCAAACUGUAGCAUCUUAACCCGCCUGAGACUGUCCCCUGGUUCUGUAAUUACAAGCAUCUCGUUCUAAAAUUCUCUUAAUUAAAACUUUACAUCAAAAUUUCAUGUUAAUUUAUGUUGCAAAUGUUAGCUUAAUUAUGACAAAGCUGUUUCACUCAGUUCUGUAUUAUUUUCAAAAUUAAUUAUAACAAAGCGAGUUUAUUUUAGCAGAAAUAUGGUAACAAAAGAAUUAAUACAAUUGUUGUGACUGAAGAGUUAUAGUGUUGACCGUUCAAUAUUUGCAAUUACUAAUGAACUUGUGAUAUCUUCUUAUCACAUUGCUGAUACUAAAGAGAGAUACUGUUAUGCAAUGGUAUCUUAGUAUCAGUAUUGUCUGAAAAGAUUUAGUGAUGCUUGUUAAUUGGUCAUAGUUACUAGAAUAUUAGUAGGAUUUUACUAAGUAUAGUUCUUGUGGCAAGAGAUACAGCAUUAGCUGUUUAAUGGUUGCUGCUGGUUUUCAGUACUGUUGCAGUGACUAAAGAGAUGCAGUGUGGUUACUAGUGUACCUAUACAAAGCUAGUAAUGGGCCCAGGUCAGAUAUAAAAUGUCAGUUGCCCCACUGCCAUUUCUAUUGAUAAUAGACCCAGGCUGGAUGUAUCAUGUAAGCUCCCAUUUCAGACUACUCAGUAUUUUAGUAAUUACUACAUAUGAUUUACAAAUGGGUUAUUAGUAUUUACCUGUAUAUACUGUUUGCAUAAUAUACUUACAGAAUAAAAUCAAAGCACCAGAUCAUUGUUUACAUUAUUUACAUUCGAUGGAUAUUUGUCCUCAUCUUGAGGACAAAUAUCCGUUGGCAAUAAAGACUGGGCCUCAUAUAAGAAUAGUCUUAUUCUGUUACUCAGGUCAUUAUGGCACUGCUGAAGACAUUACUCUUGAAUAGUACUUCACAAGAAAAUAAAACAGAGCUGGAUUUCCUUAAUGCUUUAUUAUGUACUAGCACUAUGACCCAGCAACGCAGGGUCAUACUGCUAGUGCAUGCAUAUACAGCUGCGUGCGUGCGCACAUACACAUGAGUACUGUCCAAAUCACCGACCAAUCACAUACAGCUAGCUGGCAUUCAAUUGGCGUAUCAGGUUUCGGGCAUUUUGAUUGGGUUUUGGAUAGAAAAUUCACAAAAAAGUCACUUCUAUUGAUUUUUUAAUGGCUUUGCGGGGUGACUGGGGAAAUGUAAAGAUGUGCACGACCACCCUUGGACGGUUUUGAAUGACCAUAGAAAGUGCGAGCCCUCUAACUGAAAAAUUGUGGAUUUGUAUAAAGGACACAUACGCAGACAUUUACUCUUUUACUUGUUUCAGUCCUUUGACUGUGGCCAUGCUGGAGCACUGCCUUUAGUCGAGCAAAUCGACCCCAGGACUUAUUCUUUGUAAGCCUAGUACUUAUUCUAUCGGUCUCUUUGCCGAACCGCUAAGUUACUGGGACAUAAACACACCAGCAUCGGUUGUCAAGUAAUGUUGGGGGGACAAAAACAGACACAUAUAUAUAUAUAUACAUAUCAUAUAUACGACGGGCUUCUUUCAGUUUCCGUCUACCAAAUCCACUCACAAGGCUUUGGUCGGCCUGAGGCUAUAGUAGAAGACACUUGCCCAAAGUGUCACGCAGUGGGACUGAACCCGGAACCAUGUGGUUGGUAAACAAGCUACUUACCACACAGCCACUCCUGCGCCUAUCACUGUUAAUCUGAGUGUGCACCAUUGAGGGCAUAUUGCUGUCCAGUGCACUCCCUAAGCAACAGGCAUCACACACACACAUACACACACACAUGAGUGCAUGGUCUAGUGGUUAGAGUUUUUCACUCAUUAUUGUAACGAGAUCCUGGGUUCAAUUCCCAAACCAGACGGUGUGUUGUGUUCUUGAGCAAAACUCUUCAUCUCAGUCACUUUGACCUUUGACACACUGUGCACCUGUACAGGCAAUGUUGAUUUGAUAGAAGGAGUGGACGUAUGUGCAACACAAACAUCUGAUCUCUACAAACAAGUCACCUGUGCAGGUUGUUUAGCAUGAAAUUGCUGAACCAUCUCUCUCACACCUGAUAGACUAUUGACAAUGGUAAAUACAUACAUGCUUGGUAUUUUAAUUUCUCUCUGUCAAAACCCACCCACAAGGCUUUGGUUAGCCCAGGGCUACAGUAAAAGGCACUUUCCUAAUGUACUGAAAUAAAUAGAUGUCAUCAAAUUUUUAUGAUCCUAAAAAUUUUUCCAAAAGAGUUGCUUCAAAGUUCUCAAGGAUAUGAAAAGAAAAAAGAAAAAAAUAGCCCCCCCACAAAAAAAAAAGAAGAGAAAGAAAACCCCAAACAAUAUUGUGUUUAAGAUUGUUACUGUGUUUCAAUUUAUUUUGAGAAUUGUUUCUUUGUGUUUGUAUGAAUGAUGAAUGUGUUUGGGAAUGUCUGUGUGUGUGCAUGUAAUGGUGUGCAUAUGUAUGUAUGUGUGUGAUUAUUGCCGAACAAAAAUAGCUUUCCCUUGAUAAGUUAGCUUGACAAUUUCAAAAGCAAAGCUGGUUUAAAUAACCUGUUUAAUAUAACAUUUACAUACACCUUGUUGUAGUUGAACAAACAUUUUCACAUAAAUAUAGCAGUGAUUAUUUUGAAUAAGAUCAAGACUAGGAAAAUAUGCCCAUCUCACUGGGACAAGACUGAAAUUAAAGUGAUAUCAGAUGUAUGACUAAGCUUUUUUAACAAUAUGAUUACUAAUUUUAGCCAUUUGAGAUUUUCACAAAUGAAAAAUAAGCUAAACAUAAAGACUAGGGCCAUUUUCUUUAAAAAAAAACCCAAAAAAAAAACCAACUUCUUUUUGAAGGAUUUUUAUGGGGCAGAACAGUAAAAACAUUUUAUGACCAAUGUCUUUUCAUUAUACCCUCCUCUACUUUUUAAAAAUAAUAGGGUGUGAUUUGAGACAUAUUUGGUUGUUAUUUUUAGCAGAGAUAGCAACCAUGUAGGGGUUCCUUUACUGGCUUGGUUGUUUAACCCCAAGUCAGCCCUGCUUGAUCAAAGGUAUUCCAACCAUGACCUUUCUGUCUUAUUCUUAUUCACAGGAAGUCCAGGACCAUAUUAUCCAACGUGUUCUUCUCUAAGACAGCAUGGGUUUUAUUUAAGGAAAAUUUGGUUGCUAUUUUUAGAAAGUAAAACAACCACAUAGAGGAACCCUCAGUUCACAGUCUAAUCUGUAUUUCCUUUAUGUGUUCCUGUUUCUAGUGCUAGAAGCUACCUUUUAUGGAAAUAACCAAUGAGAAGAUUGAAAGUUGGCAUAGUUUAUACAAAAAUUUUUAAAUGGGUCAGCAUAUUUGGUUGCUAUUUCUAGCAGAGAUAGCAACCUUGUAGAGGUUCCUUUACUGGCUUGGUUGUUUAACCCCAAGUCAGCCCUGCUUGAUCAAAGGCAUUCCAACCAUGACCUUUCUGUCUUAUUCUUAUUCACAGGAAGUCCAGGACCAUAUUAUCCAACGUGUUCUUCUCUGAGACAGCGUGGGUUUGAUUUAAGGAAAAUUUGGUUGCUAUUUUUAGAAAGUAAAACAACCACAUAGAGGAACUCUCAGUUCACAGUCUGUGUUUCCUUUAUGUGUUUCUAGUUCUAGUUCUAGAAGCUACCUUUUAUGGAAAUAACCAAUGAGAAGAUUGUAAGUUGGCAUAGUUUAUACAAAUUUUUUUAAAUGUGCCAGUUUAUCACUGCACGUAUGUAUUUCAGUAUGUAACUGACCAAAUUUAGUGCAGUAGUGUUUUUUUUUUUGGUUUUUCUACAUGAGUAAUUUAUUGACUAGCAGUGGUAAUUGGCACAGUAAGCUACUGGCUGGUUUCCCUGCCAUCAGAUUGCUGAAGAUAAGGCAGUGCCAAGCUAAGGCUGGUACUUAGACAGGUGACUGUUAGUGAGGUGGCAGUGUGAGUGGCCGUCCAUCUAAAUAGAAGUCAAGUGUUUUAGCAAUCCGAAAUGAUAUUGGUAGGGCCAGGGUGAAGUUUGUAUCAGAAUUUCUUUGAAAAAAAAUAAAUAAAUAAUAAUAAUAAUAAUAAAAAUAAAAUAAAAUAAAAAUUACCAAAGCAAAGAAAACUACUCUUGUGUUUAGAGAGAUAUUGGUGAAGCAUUCAGAAUUGGUUUUCAAUUAUAGCUUUAAUCACAAAAAGAGAAAAAUAUGUUAUUGAUGGGAAUCCAUCAGGAUUAUUUUGGUAAUGUCAUCAAUAGAGCUGAUUGCUUGUUGAUGGAUGGCUUUUUAUCAUAUAAAAGUCGAGUAAUUGGUUCUGUUAUACAAAUUUAAAUAAAAGGAUCUCCAUUAGUUUUGACAGUGAGUAUUGAGUUGUCCAGUCAAUUGAAUUACUUGCUCAUUGAUUCGGCACAUAAAUGGUUGAGUAUUUCGUAGACACCUCAACCCUUAAUGUAAUCCUAUUUCUUUACUACCCACAAGGGGCUAAACACAGAGAGGACAAACAAGGACAGACAAAUGGAUUAAGUCGAUUAAUAUAACUGGUACUUAAUUUAAUCGACCCCGAAAGGAUGAAAGGCAAAGUCGACCUCGGCGGAAUUUGAACUCGGAACGUAUCGGGAGACGAAAUACCUAUUUCUUUACUACCCACAAGGGGCUAAACACAGAGAGGACAAACAAGGACAAACGGAUUAAGUUGAUUAUAUCGACCCCAGUGUGUAACUGGUACUUAUUUAAUCGACCCCGAAAGGAUGAAAGGCAAAGUCGACGUGAGUUCAAUUUCAAAGGCAGAAUUUGAACUCAGAACAUAGCGGCAGACGAAAUACUGCUAAGCAUUUUGCCUGGCGUGCUAACGAUUCUGCCAGCUCGCCACCUUAAUGUAAUCCUUGGGCAGAAUCAGUUUGACAGUGUGUGUGUGUGUGUUUGCAUGCAUGUGUGUGUUUGCAUGCAUGUGUGUGUGUGUGUGUGUGUGUGAUGGUGCUAUAGCAUUGAAUUACUUGUAUAAUCCAUCCAGUGGGCUUCUGUACAUUUUCCUUCAACACUUAGUUUCACUCACAAGGACCUUUUGGUCAUGAGAAUGCAUUCAUUCCCCAAGAAGCAAAAUAGUUAAUGCUCCCACCUUUUCAGAUGUUUGCUAGUGUAAGGCACAAUAUAACACAGUAAUAAUAAUAGUAAUAAAGUUGAUGUUGAUAUCCACCUGAAUGUAUGGCUUGAAGCAUACUUAAAGCAUCUUUACAGAAUCAUCAAUCCAGCAACUUGUGGUACUGGCUGGUAUUCACUUACCUCUCCAAGUGCUGAGCUGGAGGUUUUGUGUGUUCCUUCUAUUAUCCUCAUAUUCUUUUAGUAGUGUGUGGAUCACCUCACUUCCUAUUGCAUCUAAUACCAUGAUGUUAACAAGCCAUUAACAUGAAUUUUUGAUUUAUCCAUAGGUUCACAAAAAUUGAUUUAAAAGAGAAAACUUUUGGUGUAUUCUAAAGCCUGUUGAAGCCAAGUUUAAAACUUACACUUUCUACAUUGUAUAUCUUAAGGUGGAGUUUGUUCUAAAUAGAACUACUGAGAAUUCUGUAGGUCUGCACAAUCCAUGCCUCACCUGGCCCCGACUAGGGCUAACUUCAUCACAAACAAUUUGACAAAAAUCUUAAGCCUUGUUAAGAAGAAUAACCAAGCAUUCUUUGAAAUGCAGUGCAUCUCCAUUCAGCACAUCUCCCUUACCAUUCUCCAGGGAAAUACCUUUUCCAUUUUGUUUGUUGAGACCAUGGGGCAGUCUGAAUUACAGGAAAUUGAGAGAAUGUAAGAAUUUCAUAGCACAAUUACUAGUUUUGUGAAUAAACAAUUCUAGUUGACAGUCAUGCUGUUUUAUACUCAGCAGAAAGUGUAUAGUUCUUUGAAAAAAAACUAUGACAUUACUUGGUUAACUAGUGUUUUUUUCAUAAAAAUCUGUCCACUUCUCUCCAUAAACCAAAGUCUUUUGAUUUUUGUACAAGAGCACUUGAAGUGUUUAUACUAGGUCAGUUGAACUAUUUAAAAUACCACACUGACCACCAUUCCUGUUAUGCAACUAUUGACUAUCCACAUAACAUUAACUUCUAUACUUUUGUCCUUUUUAUACAUACAUCUUAUGCUCACUAAAAGCAAAAUUAAAUACAUAAAUAACUCAGAACAGACAUAGUUAUCUGGUUAAGAAGUUUUGAUCAUGUCUUACGUAGUUUUCCUUGUUUAAUCUUUCUGCACAGCAUUUUGGGGCAAGUAUUUUUCUACCUUAGCCUUAGACUAACUAAAACCUAUCAAAAAAAUUUGGUGGGCAGAAACUGUACUGAAACCUGUUGUGAGUGUAUAAUAUACAUUUGUCUAACCCAUGCUAGCAUAGAAUUUUGGAUGUAAAAAUGAACAACCAAAUAUAUUUACAUUAUACACAUUAAUAUAUAUAUUUAUAUAUAUUAAUAUAUAUAUUUACAUUAUACAACCGAAUAUAUAUAUAUUAAUAUAUAUAUAUAUGUGUGUGUGUGUGUGCAGACAUGGCUGUGCAGUUAAGAAGUGUAUUUUGUAAGCAUGUAGCUUCAGGUUCAGUUCCAAGGAGCUCCACCUUGAGUAAGUGUCUUUUCCUAUUGCCCCAGGGUAAUCAACAACUGAAGUUCAUUGAAGGAAAUUGUGUGAAAGGUUGUUCAGUGUGUGUGUGUGUGUGUGCGCACAUCUUUGGGUUGUUCCCCUUACCUAUUUCUUUAUUACCCACAAGGGGCUAAACACAGAGGGGGCAAACAAGGACAGACAUAGGUAUUAAGUCGAUUACAUCGACCCCACUGCGUAACUGGUACUUAAUUUAUCAACCCCGAAAGGAUGAAAGGCAAAGUUGACCUCGGCGGAAUUUGAACUCACAACGUAAUUGCAGACAAAAUACCGUUAAGCAUUUCGCCCGGCAUGCUAACGUUUCUGCCAGCUUUCCACCAGUUCCCCUACCAUUCGAUAACUGGUGUUGGUUUGAUUAUGUCCUUGUAACUUAGCAGUUUGGCGAAAAGUUGUUGAUAAAUCAAGUACUGGACUUCAAGAAAAAAAAAAAAAAAGAAAAGAAUACUUGGGGUCGAUUUAAGGCAAUGCUCCAGCAUGGCCGUGUUGGACUGACUUUUUCUAUCUUUCUUUCUAGCACUCCAUCGGUUACGACGAUGAGGGUUCCGGUUGAUCCGAAUCAACGGAACAGCCUGCUCGUGAAAUUAACGUGUAAGUGGCUGAGCACUCCACAGACACGUGCACCCUUAACGUAGUUCUCGGGGAUAUUCAGUGUUACACAGAGAGUGACAAGGCCGGCCCCUUGAAAUACAGGUACAACAGAAACAGGAAGUAAGAGUGAGAGAAAGUUGUGGUGAAAGAGUACGGCAGGGAUCACCACCAUCCCUGCCGGAGCCUCGUGGAGCUUUAAGGUGUUUUCUCAAUAAACACUCACAACACCCGGUCUGGGAUUCGAAACCGCGAUCCUAUGACCGCGAGUCCGCUGCCCUAACCACUGGGCCAUUGCGCUUCCACAUUGGACUGACUAACAUCAGUAAGAAUAGAAUAGAAGACAGAAGCCAUUCAUUGUUUGUCCGUGGAGACUGAGAUGAAUGACUAAAGCACCUGGAUUCUUUCUUAUAUAACCACAUAAGAACCAUGCGUACUUUUAUAGUGAACUCAUUCAUCUUGAAGGUUUUAUAUUUCCCUUUACGUCCUGUACUAAGAAACAUGUAAUCUGUACAUAGAAUUUAUCAGUGUCAUCCUGUUUUGUUUUAUUAUUAUUAUUAAUUACUUUUAUUUUGAUUUCUUCUUUUUCAGUACGUUUAUGUAGGUGUGAGGGAAAAAAUGCUUGGAUUUCAACUAAUUUUUAGACACUAAUAAAAAUGGCAAAAAACAAAAAAGCAAAAAAAAAAAAAGAAAAUUAAAUUGAUUGCUAUAGAAUUGCUAUAGAAAGUAAUUUUUUUUUUCUCUCAGCUGUGGUGUAUAUUUAAAUCUACCAAACUAAACAACAUGGAAACCUGUUUGUAGUAGUCUCUAUCAGUUUAGUGUUUAUUAUAUUAAUCUCCUCAAUGCGGCUUGAUUAAUGCCCAGGCACCCCCUUCCUCCUUCUUUUGUUUUUCUUCUAUUCCUUUAAUUGUGAAAAGAAAUAUAUCUAGGUUAUGAGAUACUAGAAAGGUCCCAUUCACUUCCACCCCCAACAUUCCUCACUACCCCAAGAUGUGGAGGAAUGUUUUAUCACUGUUGUCAUCAUCACCAUCAUGAUCGUAAUCCUAGCUCAGCGAUGUGGUUAACAGGUUCAUUUUUUCAAUCACAUCGUUCCAGUUUCAAAUGCUGUGUACCAUAAAUCCUCGCGUAUAAUCCGCAUUUUUUCCCCAAAAUUUAAAGGUCAAAAUCCCUAGUGCGUAUUAUAUACGAGGUUAAAAGUGAAAAAUAUUUUCUAAGCAAUGUCCGAGUCUCUAUUUGUAAACACACCAGCAUCGGUUGUCAAGCGAUGUUGGGGGGACAAACACAGAUACACAAACAUAUACACACACAUACAUACAUACAUAUAUAUAUAUAUAUAUAUAUAUAUAUAUACAUAUACACAUAUAUAUGACGGGCUUCUUUCAGUUUCCGUCCACCAAAUCCACUCACAAGGCUUUGGUUGGCCCGAGGCUAUAGUAGAAGACACUUGCCCAAGGUGUCACACAGUGGGACUGAACCUGGAACCAUGUGGUUCAUAAGCAAGCUACUUACCACACAGCCACUCCUAUGCCUAGAAGUGUAACCAAUUUAUUGCACAUUAUUUUAUAACAGCAAAAUCUUGUAUAUGACCCUAAGAGUCAUAUGGAACCUGAUUGAGGACCAUUGCAUUAGAUGCUCAGGUUCUUACAAAAAAUGCAAGAUAGGCAAGAUAGUCUAUGCAAGAUAUUCACAGCAGGAAUAACUCUGAUCAGCCAUAGUGUCCCAGAUGAGAGUUGAGCUAGGGCUAAACAGCAGCUUAGUGAAGUGAGUGUUUUAAUUGUGGGACCAAACCUCUCAGCCUUGUAACAAUUUUCCAUCUCAUAGCACUAUAAUGGUUUGAAAAGUUGAGAACAAAGGCGAAGGACAAGAAAGGUAUCUUAAUUAUUAUGUGCAAUAAUUACCUGUCAUUUAAAAAGUCACACACUUCAUUGUCAAUGACAAUAAACUAGAUUCAACUGAGAACGACCAGGUGUAUUUAUCACAUACAUUAACACUUGCUGGUUCAAAUCACUCAGUAUUGAAAAUUACAACACAACAGAUGUGUUUUCUUACACUUAGACACACUCUCUCUCUGUUCUGCCUGAGACAGCUUAGUAAUGAGCCAGAUGUGUUUACCUAGACACAGGACUUCUUCCUUUUCGGUCAUUGUUUUCUAUUUAAUCUGUGUAAAAGACACACACACACAUGCAAAUGUAUGUAUGCAUGUGUACGUAAGAUAACCCAGGAGAUGGAGAACUCUAAGAGAAAAACCUGAGGUAUGUUGUCCAUUGAAUUUGUGGCAGACUUUUGCACCAUCUUUCCGCCAUCAACAUUUUCCAAACAUGUGCCUGGUCCAGCAUAAGUCUUCACCACUGAAAACAAGUCACCCAUUAAGUUAAAUAACUUGUUGACUUUUUGCCAGAAGGCAGCUACAGGAGUAGCUCAGCUGGUAUCUGAGGGGUACAGGUUCAAUUCUCGUAGCCGUCAGCUGGCAACUUUUCCCCAUCUUCUAAGGAUAUUUCCUCAAUCUUUCUGCUGUUUUCACAGUUAUACUGUAAUCAAAAUUUUUUGCUUGUCUGUAAAAUCAUCAUUUAACAUCCACUGUCUAUAUUAGCAUGGGUUGGACGGUUUGAUCAGGGCUGGUAAGCUGAGGGGUUGCACCAGUCUCCUGUCUGAUUAGGUAUGGUUUCUACAGCUGGAUGCUCUUCCUAUCACCAACCAUUCCAAGAGUAAUCAGUGCUUUUGCAUAUCACUGGUAUGGGUGUCAGUUGCAUGACACCAGUAUUUGCCACAACUACAAUUUGGCUUGAUGGGUUUUCUUCUCAAGCACAGUAUUUUGCCAAAAGUCUUGGUCGUUUGUUAUUGCCUCUGUGAAGCCCAAUGCUUGAAAGGUGCUUUUUAUGUGCCACCAUCCCGGUUUUCAUCAUAAACCUGUGUAAGCUGUUUGUUGUUUGAUAGACUGAGAUUAUUAUCUUGUGUGGAAACAAUGUAGGGAUCAGCAUCAGGAAGGGAUUCUGGCUUUAAAACACUCUGCUCCAAUGUACUCUCAUCUGAUCCAUGCAAACAUAGAAAAGUAGAUGUUAAAAAUAAUGAUUUUCAUGAUGAACAUACUGUCUCUGUUUAACUGAAGACAUAAAAGAACCAAUCACCAUCAUAUUAUAAUCAUGUUAACAAUUAAUAUUUAUUAUAUUAAUAAUCAUUAAUAUUUUAUAAUUAAAUUCAAAUGUUGGAAUAAUAGUUAUAUGCACAGUAACAAUUUCUUUCUUAGGUAUAAUUGCCUUCCACAUGGAAGUACCAGUAGCAUGCUGGGCUUGAUUUAAGCAAGUAUACUCCUUGCCGACAAAGAUUGACCUACUACCUGUUUAAAACAAAAGUAUUCUGAGUUCUUGGUUCAAAUCUCACCAGAGUCAACUUUGUUUCCUCCACAUAGGGUAAAAAGCAAAUAUUAUUGGGUAGUUAUAAUCAGCUAUACACUCCCUCCAAAAUCUUUGGCUUUGAACCUAUCUAAGUAAUCAACAAUCGUUAUUUAUGGUUCGUUAGUGAAGGUAUGUGGCCUUGUGGUUAAGGUCUUCAUCUCAUAAUCUUAAGAUUGUGGGUUCUAGUUCCAGACUUAGCAUCAAGUUGUGCCCUUGAGCAUGACACUUCAUUUCACAUCACUCCUGUUUGCUCAGCUGAAAUGAGCACCCGCUGAGCACUGGUGCAGGUCUUUCUUUCUACAGCUGUCACAUCCUUGAUAUUCCAUUGGUUCAAGGAUGAGAGGGUCGAGAGGGCAUCUGUAUCUGCCCACGACUACAAAGGCACCUAAAAUAGCAAAAGCGGGUCCAUGCUGCCUAUUCCUAUUCUCUUGCAGAUAAUUUUCUAUGGGUUUUCUUUGUGAUUUUGGUUCAGUAAUCUCACUAAGUAUUGUUACCAUUAUAUUAUUCAAUAAUGGUGCUGAGUUGGCAGAAUUGUUACACUGUUGGGGGAAAAAUGCUUUGUGGCUUUUCUUCUGACUUGUUACAGUGAGUUCAGAUUCUGCCAAAGUUGACUUUUCCCUUCAUUCUUUCAGCAUUGAUGAAAUAAAGUACCAUUUUAGUUAGCUCUUUCUUGAUUUGAUGGGUGGUGGUGCUUGGCUGUUCUCAGUUGGUGGAGCAAUCUGUCUGGUUGUUUCUUAUUUCUUUACUGCCCACAAGGGGCUACACACAGAGGGAACAAACAAGGGCAGACAAACAGAUUAAGUCGAUUAUAUUAUAAGUCGAAUGGUAGCUCCAUGUGUAGCCUGGGCUUGCUAUUACCACAGCUCUCUUUUGAGUGUAGUGUUGCAGCCAUGUCCAGUUGCCCUCACUGGUGAUCACGGCAUGGUUGCAGCAUCAGUUGUGGAGGAAUAGUAGUAAUCCAGUUGACUCGGCCUGUGCAAACAUGGCAGUGGUACACCAUCACAUCCAGGUCAAUCAAUUGGAAAAUGCAGCAUUUCUUAGAUGGACAGGUGGAAAAAAACUGCACAAGGUGAAGCAGUAACAGGUUUGUGAUGCCCUUAGAUGUCCAGAGCCACAUGCAAGCUACAUAGGAGGUAUCAGUGGGUGCAUUUCCCCUGACCCAAGUGUCUCAGGAAACUUUUGAACCUGAUCAUUGAUCUUUGGAAUUUGGACCUGUAAUGAACCCUGUAAAUGAGGAAUUCCCAGUAGGUGUAGGUCAUCAGCCCACAUUGACCAUGCCCCUGCCCUUUGUACACAUCACCUGUUGCUACUACCAGUGACAUGAUCUGGUAAAGUCCUCAGAUUUGGCCAAUAUGUCAGCAUUCAGGUAGCAGCAUUCUGUGUUAUCAUUGGUGUGUUUGCUGAUGGCUGAGAGAUGGCCAAACCUGAUCAGUUAUAGGAAGUAGAAUUUGCAACAAGGUUGAUGUUAUUGACUAACAACAACCGGAUCUUUUCCUUUUGAUAGCCAGAUUUCAACACAAUUUCUAGUUAACUAAACACUUUUAAACUUCGUAUACUGGUAGAAUGUGUUUAUAAGACAUCAUUUUUUCUUGGCUUUAUUGAGAAAAUUCUAUAUGUUGUAAGAUAUUUCGUCUGAAAAUCCAAGCAUUUUGGCAAUUUUAACCAAUCGAUUACCUCCAUUUGGGUAAACAACAUUUGCUGCGUCUAAAACUGAGACAACAUCCUGUAACUAACCCUAACCCUAAUUUUUUUUUCUUAAUUGUUAAAUUAAUUUAAUUGUUACGCGUGUAAAAAAGCCUGAAAGCAAUGGAAAGUGAUUUAAACAAUUAACAAUCAAAAUAAUUCUAUAAUUUUACACACAUACUUUCCGUAACACACGCUUUCCGUAUACGUAUGAAUUGUGUUGAAAUCUGGCUAUCAAAAGGAAAAGAUCCCAACAACCUUCUAAAGUUGCUGGCUUGUGCCAAAAUUUGAAGCCAUUGUAUUCGUCAUUGUAUUUUCCAUUUCAUUAACUUGGUUUCAUUUCUUUGCUAGUAUUAUAUACAAAAGAACAGUGAUGGUGAACCUUUUAAGCUGGCAUGUUGAAAUGUUGGUUCUUUAAUAAUCCUGUUAUUGUAGUGUCACUUGCUUGUCUACAUGUAAUUUCUUCAGCUAGGUAAAUGAUUAUGGAUAAACUUUUAGUAACAUGAUAUUGUUGGAAGUUUUUUUUUCUCUUGUCUAUCAGAGUCCAUUACAUGACAACCUAAAAUACCCCAGUGGCAUGUCACUGCUGACAUGUAUGCCAUAGGUUCUGCAAUCA